rnacentral:rRNA from 1 species
CGUUAAGCAAAUCCCAGAAAUAACGUCCCAGUUCGGAUUGUAGUCUGCAACCCGACUACAUGAAGCUGGAAUCGCUAGUAAUCGCGAAUCAGAAUGUCGCGGUGAAUACGUUCCCGGGUCUUGUACACACCGCCCGUCACACCAUGGGAGUCGGAAAUGCCCGAAGUCAGUGACCCAACCGUAAGGAGGGAGCUGCCGAAGGUGGAGCCGGUGACUGGGGUGAAGUCGUAACAAGGUACC